GGGAACUUAUGGUGCUUUUCCCUGGGCCCGCCCAUGGCCACCCAUGAACCAAUCAGCACACACUUCCUCCCCGGUAAGGCCCAUACAAGCCUCAGAUUCAGAUUCAGCCAGACUCCAGCAGAGGAAGAAAGAUGAUGGGGAGAUGACACGCCGACCAGCUGCAGAGAGGAACUACCCUCUCUGCUGACAGCUGGACACUUAUCAGGAGACCUGCCUGCAGAGAGGAGCUACCCUCUCUGCUGAGAGCUGAAGAGAAGAUGGGCCAACCAGCUGCAGAGAAGAGAGGAGCUACCUUCUCUACCGAACACGGAACACUCCUUGGGACGACCUGCCCAGCAGAGAGGAGCUACCCUCCCUGCUGAGAGCUGAACACUCAUCGGGACACCCUGGCUAUGCAGAGGAGCUGCACACUCCAGGUCUACUGUGAGCUGUUCUAUUGUUCAGUAAAGCUCCUCUUCGUCUUGCUCACGCUCCACUUGUCUGUGUACCUCAUUCCUCCUGGACACAGGACGAUAAUCUGAGACCUGCCAAAUGGCGGGGCUAAAAGAGCUGUAAUACAGACAGGGCUGAAACACGCCACUUGCUCGCCAUUUUGUGAGUGACAAGGACGAGAGAAGUGAGAAGGAGAGAAGGAGAGGAGCUGCAGCUCUUUGGGAAACCUAGACCUGGGAGCUCCCCAAGCCAGGGCUGUGACUACCCCUUUGGGGCUCUGAGGUUCCUGGAGUCUCCAAGCUUCUGGGCACCACUGUGUUCCCUGGUGCCAGCCGUGGAAGCUGCUUGUGGUGCAGCUGGCCCAGCAGCAGCCUCGCAGAGAGCCGACGCCUGUGCCAGCACCUGCAGCUGCCCGCCCCACGGCAGCAGUCAGUGUAUCUGACUGUGCACAGUGGCUGGACCCCACACUUGCUCACACACCCCUCACUGCUCCACACCUGACUCGCAGUCUCCCUCGAGGCGUGGGAUCCAGGCUGGUAGCAUGAGCCGAGCACAGCCUGCCAGGCUGAGGGGGUGGAAUGAGCCCAGCAGACCCGAGCAAAACUCACACAGAGGCACCACUGGCCACAGAGUUUUCCGGCCAGAAAAGCGACACCCCAAAGUUCUCAUAACAAAAUAUUGCCUCUCCCAUCCAACCCAACUGGAAUUUGCUAGUCUGAAUAUUUGGGUCAUCCCAAAUUAUACGUUGAAAUCCUAACCCCCAAGGUGAGGGCAUCAGGAGGUGGCGCUCUGGCAGGUGAAGAAGUCCUGAGGCAAAGCCCUCGUAAAUGGGAUUAGUGCCGUCAUAAAAGAGACCUCAGAGCCUUCUCACCCUUUCUGCCAUGCAAGGAUACAGCGAGAGGACAGCCAUCUAUGAACGGAAAGCGGGUGCUCCCCAGAUAUCAAAUGUGCCUGCACCUUGAUCUUGGACUUCCUAGCCUCUGAACUGUAAGAAAUAAAUUUUUGUUGUUUAUAAGCCACCCAAUCUAUGGUAUUUUGUUGUAGUAGAUGGACUAAGACAGAACCUAACACAUAAAGAUUUCACAUGUGAGUCCAGCCCAUUUCUAAAUUCCAGCAAAAUCCAAAUGUCUGCUUGACCAGACAUUAAACAAAAAGUUCUGACUAGCAGUGCUCUUUUGGAUGCUGGUGCUGACAUUCAAGUUCAAGUUCUUUCUCUUACAGCAGAAGCCCUGGAGUUUCUUUUAGUCACCUAAGUUGGUUGGAGUUUUGUGGUUGUUUCAUUCUGUAUUUAUGGGUACUCAUUACAAGCCUGUCAUCUUAGAACAGAGACUCACCUGGUGCAGCCCUCAUCCUGCAGCCAUUGGCUUUCCUGGUCUAACCUGGUCCACAACCAUCUCUACUUCGAAAUGCAUUUUUAGUUCCCUUUAGUUCAGCACAAGAGGGAUAGGUUGUGC
rnacentral:lncRNA from 10 species